CAAAUCUGCCAUGGAUAAGAAAACAUUCAAUAUCGUUGGUACCUGGAUAACCUUGAUUUUUCAAAUUCCAUUCUGAAUUAUGACCAAAAUGGCCGAGGUUAAAAGUCACAAAUCCUACUAGGUACGCCAUAAGCCAAUUCUGUCACGCCCGUGGACAGUACAAUUCUCAGUAUCGUUGGUACCUAGAUGACAUAUGUGAUUGGUUAAUCCAUACAAUGAAUAGUCAUUUAAAGAAAUGAUAGUUUGUUGCCAAAUCACGAUCGGUAUUGAAUUAAAAUUUUGUUCUGCUGUCUAUUUAAAGUCUUUCACGAUUGCUAAAAGUCUAAUCUGCCAUGCCCAUGGACAACAUAUAAUCAACAAUCAAUUAUGUCUUUAAAAGAUCAUCGGAAAUUUGACGCCUUAAAGCGACAUAAUUCCGCCGAACAUAAUCGCCGCGUUGUUAUUUCCAUGGAAAAGCAUUAAAGAAUUUGUGUUUUUAAGUUUGUUUACAAUCAGAAAAUAGUCGCAAAUGUUGGUACCUAGUUGACAUAUAAAUCCUUGGUUAUUCCAUACCAUGGAGAUAGUCCUAGCGAACCUAUAGGACCAAGUUCUUGCAAAAUGCGCAAGAACCCAACCGGCGACGAGGGCGCCCCUUUUGGGUAUGCAAUGAAAUUUUUUCGCCAGCCAAAAAUAUUUUUUGUCGACCUUCUGGGCAUUUCUGUUCGCCUGGUAUUUUGGCAGAUUUUAAGAAAAAUCUCGGCAGCCAGCGGUUGCCAACAGACGCCCCUUUUGGGUAUGCAAUGAAAUUUGUCUAAAGACCGUAGAUUUCGGAUUUUUUGAAUAAA